rnacentral:rRNA from 1 species
GAUGAACGCUGGCGGCGUGCUUAACACAUGCAAGUCGAACGGGAAACCUUUUAUUGAAGCUUCGGCAGAUUUAGCUGGUUUCUAGUGGCGGACGGGUGAGUAACGCGUGGGUAACCUGCCUUAUACAGGGGGAUAACAACCAGAAAUGGUUGCUAAUACCGCAUAAGCGCACAGGACCGCAUGGUCCGGUGUGAAAAACUCCGGUGGUAUAAGAUGGACCCGCGUUGGAUUAGCUAGUUGGCAGGGUAACGGCCUUCCAAGGCGACGAUCCAUAGCCGGCCUGAGAGGGUGAACGGCCACAUUGGGACUGAGACACGGCCCAGACUCCUACGGGAGGCAGCAGUGGGGAAUAUUGCACAAUGGGGGAAACCCUGAUGCAGCGACGCCGCGUGAAGGAAGAAGUAUCUCGGUAUGUAAACUUCUAUCAGCAGGGAAGAUAGUGACGGUACCUGACUAAGAAGCCCCGGCUAACUACGUG